CCCUUAGAUGUCCUGGGCCGCACGCGCGUUACACUGAUGCAUUCAACGAGCUUAUAACCUUGGCCGAGAGGCCUGGGCAAUCUUGUUAACGUGCAUCGUGAUAGGGAUAGAUUAUUGAAAUUAUUAAUCUUGAACGAGGAAUUCCUAGUAAACGCAGAUCAUCAAUCUGCAUUGAUUACGUCCCUGCCCUUUGUACACACCGCCCGUCGCACCUACCGAUUGGAUGGUCCGGUGAACACUCUGGACUUGUUGUCUGUCGGAGCAAUCCAAAGACGAUAGGGAAGUUGUGUAAACCUUAUCAUUUAGAGGAAGAAGAAGUCGUAACA
rnacentral:rRNA from 1 species